rnacentral:rRNA from 1 species
AUUGAACGCUGGCGGCAUGCCUUACACAUGCAAGUCGAAGGGCAGCACGGGUGCUUGCACCUGGUGGCGAGUGGCGAACGGGUGAGUAAUACAUCGGAACGUACCUUAUCGUGGGGGAUAACGCAGCGAAAGCUGUGCUAAUACCGCAUACGCCCUGAGGGGGAAAGCGGGGAUCGCAAGACCUCGCGCGAUUAGAGCGGCCGAUGCCUGAUUAGCUUGUUGGUGGGGUAAAAGCCCACCAAGGCGACGAUCAGUAGCUGGUCUGAGAGGACGAUCAACCACACUGGGACUGAGACACGGCCCAGACUCCUACGGGAGGCAGCAGUGGGGAAUUUUGGACAAUGGGGGCAACCCUGAUCCAGCAAUGCCGCGUGAGUGAAGAAGGCCUUCGGGUUGUAAAGCUCUUUUGUCAGGGAAGAAACACCGGCUCUAACACAGUCUGGGAAUGACGGUACCUGAAGAAUAAGCACCGGCUAACUACGUGCCAGCCGCCGCAGUAA